AAUGGAAUAAAUAUCAUUGGACAAUAGACACACUAGAUAUAUGAUAUGGAAGAAUCAUUAGGACCACAUAGAUGUGGUCCAAGGGUUGGUGAUCACCUGAUCUUAUGAACACAAGAGGACCAUUCAAUGAGAGAACUUCCAAGGGAUAAAAAGGCAUCCUAUACGUGAAUCAUUGGGUUUAUGUAGUACAAAGCAGUGGGCUCCCAGA
rnacentral:lncRNA from 1 species